rnacentral:rRNA from 1 species
AUUGAACGCUGGCGGCAUGCCUUACACAUGCAAGUCGAACGGCAGCAUAGGAGCUUGCUCCUGAUGGCGAGUGGCGAACGGGUGAGUAAUAUAUCGGAACGUGCCCUAGAGUGGGGGAUAACUAGUCGAAAGACUAGCUGAUACCGCAUACGAUCUACGGAUGAAAGUGGGUGAUCGCAAGACCUCAUGCUCCUGGAGCGGCCGAUAUCUGAUUAGCUAGUUGGUGGGGUGAAAGCGCACCAAGGAGACGAUCAGUAGCUGGUCUGAGAGGACGACCAGCCACACUGGGACUGAGAAACGGCCCAGACUCCUACGGGAGGCAGCAGUGGGGAAUUUUGGACAAUGGGGGCAACCCUGAUCCAGCAAUGCCGCGUGAGUGAAGAAGGCCUUCGGGUUGUAAAGCUCUUUUGUCAGGGAAGAAACGGUUCUGGAUAAUACCUGGAGCUAAUGACGGUACCUGAAGAAUAAGCACCGGCUAACUACGUGCCAGCAGCCGCCGCCG